rnacentral:lncRNA from 1 species
GUGGGAAUUAUUCAUUUUGGUUAUGUUAUUUUUAAUGUAUUUUUUGUAAUUAUGUAAUUUCAUGUUGUAAGGUAAAGGUAAAUAGGUAAAGGACCCCUGGACAGUUAAGUCCAGUCAAAGGUGACAUUGGGGUGCAGCGCUCAUCUCGCAUUCAGGCCAAGGGAGCUGGCGUUUGUCCACAGACAACUUUCCAGUUCAUGUGGCCAGCAUGACUAAACAGCUUCUGGCGCAACGGAACACCGUGACAGAAACCAGAGCACACAGGAAAACUUCCUGCCACAGCAGUACCUAUUUAUCUACUUGCACUGGUAUGCUUUCAAACUGCUAUGUUGGAAGGAACUGGGACAUAACAACAGGAGCUCACUCCAUCACAGGGAUUUGAAAUGCCAACCUUCCAAUCUGCAAGCCCAAGAAGCUCAGUGGUUUAGAGCACAGCGCCACCCGCAUCUCAAGCCACCUAGAGUAUGGAUUUAACUAUGGAAAGACAGCAUACAAAUAGAAUGCUGCAUGUAUAGAGUCGUACCUUGGAUCCUGAACGCCUUACAACUCAAACAUUUUGCCUCCUGGAUGCUGCAAACCCUGAAGUGAGUGUUCCAGUUUGCUAACGUUCUUUGGAACAUUCUUUAACUGGAACGUGUCCAGAGGAGGGCAACCAAAAUGGUCAAAGGCCUGGAAACGAUGCCUUAUGAGGAACAGCUAAGGGAGCUAGGCAUGUUUAGCCUGGAGAAGAGGAGGUUAAGGGGUGAUACGAUAGCCAUGUUCAAAUAUAUAAAAGGAUGUCACAUAGAGGAGGGAGAAAGGUUGUUUUCUGCUGCUCCAGAGAAGCGGACACGGAACAAUGGAUCCAAACUACAAGAAAGAAGAUUCCACCUAAACAUUAGGAAGAACUUCCUGACAGUAAGAGCUGUUCGACAGUGGAAUUUGCUGCCAAGGAGUGUGGUGGAGUCUCCUUCUUUGGAGGUCUUUAAGCAGAGACUUGACAACCAUAUGUCAGGAGUACUCUGAUGGUGUUUCCUGCUUGGUAGGGGGUUGGACUUGAUGGCCCUUGUGGUCUCUUCCAACUCUAUGAUUCUAUGAUUCUAUGGAACCCAAAUGUUUGACAUGGCUUACACGGCUUCCGAUUGGCUGCAGGACCUUCCUUUGGUUUCUGAACGUUUUGGAAGUUGAACGGACAUCCAGAACAGAUUCCGUUCAACUUCCAAGGUACCACUGUAUAUGAUUUCUGUUAUAAAAGGAGUGGAAUGCCAAGGGAAUUAAAGGGUACCACACUGGAGCAAGUACAACCACCUUCCUAAGCCAACAGCGAAGCACCAUCUGGACCAAAUGAUUAGACAUAUGCAGAUUAUUUCUGAAUUUAUUCUUAGAGAAUAAAAAGGAAUGAAAAGGAAGACCCUCUUAUCUGUUCAGAUUCUAAAUGAAACCAUGGUUUGUUUUUAUCUUCUGGAAGCUGAUUUGCCAGGUAGUACAAUUCUAAAUUCGGGAUUCCCUAGUCCCCAUCACGAUUAGCAACAAAUGACAUAAAAAGUGUAAGUUUGAAAAAGGAAGUUUGAAAAAGAGUCACCAUUUUAAUUACCCCUAAUCUAAUGCAAUAUUGUGAAGUUCUCUUUUCUAAAACAUUUUAUAUGCUGAUUAACAGAAUGUCAGAGCCACCUAUAGUCGUCUUUGAACAGCAAAAAGGUAAAGGUAAAGGACCCCUGACAGUUAAGAUAAGUCGCAGACGACUCCGGGGUUGCGGCACUCAUCUUGCUUUACAGGCUCAGGGAGCCGGCGUUUGUCUGCAGACAGUUUUUCCGGGUCAUGUGGCCAGCAUGACUAAGCUGCUUCUGGUGCAAUGGAACACCAAAAUCAGCACACGGAAAUGCCGUUUACCUUCCUGCCGGAGUGGUACCUAUUUAUCGACUUGCACUUUUUGGCGUGCUUUUGAACUGCUAGGUUGGCAGGAGCUGGGACCGAGCAACGGGAGCUCACCCUGUCGCAGAAUACGGCAUACUGUAUUCAAGUUUCUAGUGAUAAAUAUACGCAUAUUUCAGUUUUAUGUAAUAUGUUAAUGUUCAAUAGGCUUCUUACUGCUUUUGUAUAUGAGGAGGGACAUUAAAACAUUCCUCUUAUUCAGUAAAAUCAGUUACCUUCCAAAUUACUUCUCUAAACUCUGGCUGUUUUCCACACUGCUGCCUGGAUCCCAUACAAAGGAAAAAUAUGGAGCAGGUGGACGUUUGAGGCUCUCUGUCUUUGUCUGGUGUUAGGGAUGCUAAGAUGUAUCCAACUGUAAGCUUCCUUUCACUGAACUUUUAAGGAGAAGCUUCUGUAAUUAUUUGAUUUCAUGAUUUAGGGAUUGGGAGAGAGACUAGAUGAAGUAUGAAACAUGAAGUGUUGGAAAGAAGAGUGUUGUUCUGUGCAGAUAAUUAGUUCAUGUAUCAGCCAACUUUCAAUAAUAGUCCAUAUUAAAUCUUGCUGGACUAAAAAUCUAGCUGCAUUUACUAGCCUCAACUGUUAAGUUCAAGGCUUACAUAUGGGCAUUUUCCUAUGGAGGCAGCAAUAGUCAGAAAGAAACACAAGUAUAUUAGAUAUGAAUUUCUGUUUCCUAGGUCUCCAGAAAGCAAUAACAGGUUUUUUUCACACGUUUACAAUUUUUAUUUUAACAAGAGGUAUGGAAAACGAGAUCAAGCGCCUUUCAGCUUGGUGAAACACUUGUUUCCAUGGGUUCAAUUCUCCUUAGUACCUCACACAACAUAAUUGAAAGUUGCCCAGGAACAAGAUCAGAACAACGAAACAGAAUUCAGGAAGUAAAGUCUCCACAGAGGAAACAAAAACACAAACCAUUAAAGAUGCCUCAUAUGAUUGAGGUUAAAAACUAAUUAUUUCAUGGAGCUCCAUUUCAAAAACAACCAGAUGUUCAAAAAGGAACACUAAGUUUAUUGUUUCAACCAAAAGUUACAAAGAACGCCCAAAAGGGAGGAGAGAGAAAAAUGCACAAAUGCCUUUACACAGAGGUGACAUGAACAAACUAGUUAUAAAAGAAGUUCUAUAAAAAGAAACAUUUUUGUUUGCAGGUCAAAGAGAAAUUUAGAAAAUCAGUUAAUAAAUGCUAAGAACAUAGGAGCCACUGCAGCUUUUAGGCACAAAAGAUGUUGUGUUUCUAUGGCACUGUGUUUCACGAGCCAUACUGUUUGUUAACUGCUUGCAUUUCACUAUGCUUGGUUAAUAAAAUGGUCAGGUAUUUCUUGUUAUUUGUUUGUCUAUAGAUCUACUCAGGUUUGCAAAGUGACAUAGUUCCAAUUAUUGUUUUACGCCAGAAUGCUACAAAAACUACAACAGUAAUUAUCAUUUUAGCAUGGUUAUGUUAUGAAAAGCAAUUUCUAAAAGUUCCAUCAUCCCCCAAAAAUUAUCAAGAUGCCCAUAAACUCCAUUUCUCAGCCUUGAUUGAUGACUGUUUCCAAAAGCUGGUUAUGGCAGAUUGGGCUGGGCAAUAUAUCAAUAUAUUGUCCAAAGUCAGUUUAAAGUUCACAUCGUGAUAACUGUUUCACAAUAUUUGACCUGGCAAUAUAUCACGAAUCACAAUGUGCCUGAGGGCUAGGUGAUAUCUGGUUUUCAACAUUGCAAUAACUUACCAGCUAAACAUCACAGUAACUUACCAGCUAAACACUGUCUGCUGGCAGUCUGACAAUCCCAGAUUAUUUGGAUUCACUAUGACUCAUCACCGUAGUGGAUUGUCCUGAAUACCACCAUUUGGUAGCCAAGCCCCCAACCAAAAGUCUCAUUUGGUUGCAUAUUGGCUUGCCUGCUGCUGAAAGUGACCAUAAGGUUAUUGAUAAUAUAAUCAUGUAUACAUUUUAGACCCUUAAGUAGUAGCAGUUGCCAGGACACUGUCCUGUUCGCCUCUGCGUUCCUUCCUUAUUUCAGAUAUAGCAAUAUAUUGCAAUGUUUUGCUGUUGAUAUAUCACAAUACCGAAAACUAGUUAUCGCCCAGCCCAAAUGGCAGAUUGUUGCUCUGAACCAUAGCAGAUAUGCUGUUGCAGGGCUUCGUGUUGUCGUCCCCCAUACUACUUGAGACCUACAUAAAACUGCUGAGUGAGGUGUCAUCAAUCUGUAGAUAGCACCCACCUCUACUUUUCCUUCUCAUCAAAUUCAGGUAAAGCCAUAGGAGUGCUGAGUCAACAACAGGAUUCUCUAAUGGGCUAGAAGAUGGCUAACAAAUGUCAAUCCAAACAAGAUGGUGUUUUAUUUGCCCAGAGUAGUAGCAUUCAACCAACUCUUCCAAAGUCUCAAAUUUAUAAUCUGAGGGUAUCAUUAGCAGCAGCCUUGACUUUGGAGGCCUAAGCAGCUUCUGUGGCAUGACACAACUUUCACAAGUUACAGCUGGUAUGCCAGCUGCAGCCCCUUCUGGACAGACAGUCCAAUCCAGUUAAUGUUAUGUUUGCAUAAUAGUAACAGGUCUUUGCAUAGCCGUUCACUGUACCAUGUUGCAGAUUAUCUAACUUUUCUAACACUGGCUAGAAGCAAAGUCACAGAAGGUAUAUAGCUACUUAACAACAAUUCAAGACUGAUUGCGUUAGUCAUUUGUCUCCCCUAGAUGUCAAUGGGAGUCUAUUUUUUUCCUUCUGGUCUGUUCAGGAUGUGACUUGAAAGAGGUUGCUUGUGUUUUCCUCUGCAGGCCCUUUAACUUAAUUCAUACAUUCGUGUGCAGGAAAAGGGCCAUAUAGAUCAUGAUGUGCAAUAAUCCGGUACAAAUGUUUUGCUGAUUGUGAAAAUGCUCCUCUGGCACCGUAACCAGGUCAACCUGAAAGGGUACAAAAGAUUGUGAUCUAUUGUCAAUGGCACUUCCCAGCCAAGGAAUUCACACUGCAGACAGUUAAGUAUUUAUUGUCAAAGAUAACACAGUCACUUCUACAUCUCUGUAUGUCUAUGCACACCAAUCUAACAGCUAGGCAGCUAUUCCCAGGUCCACACUCUAUGGAGCAGUUGCAGCAAUGAUGGGACCACUCCCCCUCCACCAGUUUAUAUACCUUCACCGGAAGGGCUGCGUGCACACAGUCUGAGACUGCACCAGAGUGGAAACUUUCUCAAUACAUCCCUUUUCAAUUCCCUCCUGGUUCUGGGAGACAGUGAUACAGAAAAGGGUGGAGAAGCACCUAGCCUUUCACUUGCCUGACUGCCUCUUUCUCGUCUUCUUCUGAGGCAUCCUGUGCUCCAACCUCUAGUUCUAAAGCUUCCCCUGCCUCCAAUUCUUGCCUCCUGGCUGGUACAAGCCUCUACAAACCACCGCCCCCACUCCUGAGCCAGCCCUGCUGCCCCUGGUGCACACUCAUCAGAGGCCUGCCAGCCCGACAUCUAUAACACUAUUAGACAGAUCAGAGACCCUAUUUUUCUCUAAUAAUUGCAGUACGUAAAGUAGGAUUUCUCUUGCUUCCCCAAACCUGGGAAGAAAAUAAUUGGGGACAACAAUGUUCCAUAAGUCCUUCCCUGGCACCUGCAGAGUUCCCUACCACUGUUGAAAUUAGGCUUGAAAGAAGCAUUCGCAGAAUAAGGUGUGUGUGCUUGGUUGUGGUAGGAGCAGUUGCCCAUGACUAUUUAUCCAGUUUGCAAAUGUGCUCACAGGCUCAAAAAUGUUGGCAACCUCUGUGCUAAGUGAUCAGAAUGUAAAGUGCAAGCUCCUAAAGAACAAGGGCACGGUCCUGCAAAUCCUGUCAUCUUUUUCAGGAGUUGCAGAGAACCCAGAAGAGGUUUGGGUCUCUUGCAUGUUGAUUUAUAUGCAAGAAAGACCAACUCACUCACCCUUGAGUGCUGUGGCAUGAACAGAUUAUAUGAAGUUUGGGUAGGGUCUUCUUUUACCUUGGGCUUCAGAGAAGUUAAACUGUACAAAUUGCCUCUCAGAGCUCUGCCACCACCUUCCCAAAUGUUUGUGGAAAUGUUGGGGAAAUGGGAAGAAGGCAAGAGAGAGAAGGGGAUGGGGUGCUGCUAGUGUUAGUGAAGUUGCUCACCUUCCUUGUAGCUUAGGGUAGGGUUCUUCUAAGUUGUUUACUUGCCUUGUUCUUUCUCCACCAUGACACAUUCAUCCCUCCCCUCAGACCCAAAGUUCCUCCUUCAACUUUCCCUGCCUACUUAUUUCACUAUCUCUCCUUACCACUUCUCUCUGGCUUCCCUUGCAAUGCUGCCUCAGAUGGGUCCUGAGGGCGGACAUUCUCCUCCUCAUAGGCCCCCUUUUCAGAUAUACGUACACUGCUGGUGUUGACAGGAGUUUCUGUUGUUGUUCCUUCUUUCCUGCCAUAUGGCUAGAGACAAAAGUGACAGUGAAGACUUCCUUAAGAGGCAGGUGCUAAAGGCCAUCUUGAGAUGCUGCUGCCGUGGACACCUCAUGGUGCAGCUGCAGGCAGUACAGAUACUACCACAGAGCUUGGCUGCAGCUGAAAGGCUCGCCUAAGGCUCCAACAACAACCAGUCUGUUUCAAGUGAAAAACCAGAGGAUUGCCACCAAGAGAAAAUAAAAUGGACCCAAAUCUUGAACAAACAAGUGCUGUCUCUUUCUGUGUUCUUUGAAGCAGCACAUGCAGUGAAGCAAGAUCCCUUCCUUGGGGUAGGAGAGAGGUAUCGUUUCAUUCCACUUGAGAAUGACUGGCUAGUGAGCCAACACAAAAUUUAUGGACCUCUGAAUGAAGAUGUGGGUGCACUGAUGCAGAAAUAGUUGAAUCCAGCUGAGCAGUUGUAAUUAUGACCAAAUAACACCUGUGUAACUGAACACCACAAGUUAUUUGAUCAUGCAUAUGAACUCUGUAAAUGCCUACACUAAACAAAGAGACUUUUUUAAAAAAUCCAUGUAACAGGUCAGGACACGCAAGUCACCACAGAAUAACCACUCGCCACCAAUCUCCUACAAGGUUAUGCUGAAACCAAUACUCCAUUUUUUAUUUGACAAGCAUUAACUACAGCUAUCUUUUUUCCUGAACUUCCUCCCUCUCCUAUGCCCAACCUCUUUGGCUCUGAAACUUACUUUUAAAAUAAUAAUAAUAAUAAUAAUUUAUCAUGUAUGUGAAAGCACUUUGCUUUAGAGCAGAGGUGGGGAAUCUCAGGUACAGGGGCCAAAUGCAACACUCCAGGUCUCUCUAUUCAACCCUCAGCAUUAUCCCCAGAUCUCGCUCCUUCUUCGCAGACCCCAUACCUCCCAAGUCCUGCUCCAAGUCCUCCUUACGUGCUUUUUCUUGCCUGGAAGUGUCCUUGAACUGAAAUAAUGCCUCUUCCCUGCCUGGAUAAAGAAAGGCACAUAGAAACAUCUUGCUGGAAUGUAGCCUACUGUCUAAAGGUAAGCCACAUCUGUUGCUCCUCCCAGUUUUGCGGUUCACAGCAUAAAAAUGUGAAAUAAAAACAAAAUGUAUAAUAAGUGAAAGUAAAGAGCAAAGAGAAAAAAAUACUCCAAGGAAAUAAAACAAUUCCAACCAGAAAUAUAUCUACUACAUAGACAUGUUAAUCAAAAGAAAAGAUGGUUCAAUAACAGAAAAUUCACACUGGCCAUACAGGAGACCUAGGUAAAUUCCUGCCAAAUGCAGAUAUAUUUCAUUUUCAAAAUCUGUGUGCUGUACUGGUUUCAACUUUCACUAAGUAUAUUUGGAUUCAAACUCUUACUCAACCACAGAAUUCACUGGGCCAAUCAUAAUCUCUCUACCUAACCGAUCUCACAGGAUCAUUCUGAGGAGUUAAAAUCAGAAGAGCCAUGUAUACUGCUCUAUGCUCCUUGGAAAAAGGGUUAAAAAAAAUGAAUGCCUAAUAAAAUGUCAUCUGGGCUCUCAAUGGUAUCAAUAGGCAAUGAACAUACAUGUUGUGCCAUUUCAACAUACAUGCACAACUACAUGCCAUUUCAACCCAUCCUACUGUGCUGAAAGGUCUUUCCUGGGCCCAACUUGAUCAAGUCAAGUUUAAUACAAGUUAAUGAAAGUGUUAACAAAUCAUCAUCAUCAUCAUCCCUCUAAUUCUGAUAUUUAAUCUGGAGAUAUCAAUGCUAAUGUAACCAAAAUGGAACCAUCCAUGCAUAACAGCAUAUAAGGCAGCUCUGCAAAAUCUCAGAGGUUGCAGGAAUUCAAAAACAAACUUAACUAAAAGCAACUCAAUAAAGGCUGAGCAUGCCAAGUGGUCACAGAAUGCUCACUAAUAGUUGGGAGUAGAUACAGAAAGCCAAGCAGGAAGGGAAAUGGAAUGGAGCAGUCUGAACAGGAGCAUGCCACACUGCAACAUUCUGUUGCAAGUCCCUCUUUUACAUACUAUAUACAGUGGUACCUCUGGAUGUGAACGGGAUCGCAUCCUGAAGUGAACGCUACCCACGUCCGCACGGGUCACAAUUUGCCGCUUCCGUGCAUGCUCGCGACGUCAUUUUGAGCGUAUGCGCGAGCAGUGAAACCUGGAAGUAACGCGCUCCGUUACUUCCGGGUCGCCGCGAAGCACAACUCGAAAAUACUCAUCCCGAAGCUACUUCAACCCGAAGUAUGACUGUAAUGCCAAACAUAUCCAAGUAGCUAGCCUUAUACAGCUAGAACAGGAUCACAGACAUACAAGCAGGAGGUAUGAGUAGGCUUGGGAAAACAACAAGGUGUGAAGAAGUAAAACAAAAUUCAUGAGGAAAAACUAAAGGAGUAACUGCUCCGCAAGACAGCCCAAGGGGGACUGAGCACGCCAUGAAGCCAGAAGACUGAGUGGUCAUGAAGUGUUGGCUUUGAGGGUUGGGUAGAAAAACAAAGGGUGAGAGGGAAUGGGAUAUAGUAGCAGAAGGAAUGGCUGAAUAGGACACUGAAUAGGAGCAUUCCACAUUUUACUGCAACUCCCACUUGUAAGACACAUUAAUAAACCUGCAAACCUACAUCUGAAAUUCAAUGCAACAGCCAUCACUUUUCUGUAAACUGCAAUUAUUUCCCCAUUCCCCUGUUGGCACGUAGUCAUUGAUUCAGAUAAUGUAACUUGAGACUGCUUUGCACAUGCAAAAAGUCUGAACAAUAUUCUAGGUAGCAAUAACCAUGACUUCUUGGCCAAUAUUUUUAAUAAUGAUGAAAGAAAUGUUUUAGUAGAAGUGAAAACUGCUGACUAAGAAAGCAGAGCAUAAACAGUAAUUAAAAGACAACAUUUUUGAAAACAUGAUUAAGAAAUGUGAAUUGUUUAAAGCAGUCUGCCCCAAGGUUUUUCAAGGCGAGGUAGAGAUAACCACUGUGGUAUCCACUGAACAAAUCCAAGUUAAAUUAAUAUUUAACUAACAGUAAAGCAGCAAGCAGAAAUAAACCAGGUUCUUAACAAGCAGUAGUUGUCCAAUAUGAUGUAUCUCUUCUGAGCAUUUUAAAAUAUCCUCCCAUGUUAUCUAUAAGACAAAGAGCUAGAAAAAAAAGCGAAUUAUCAGGAUUGCAGCAGAAGCCCCCACACUACUGAAUUUAUGCCUUCAGACCUCUAUUUCUGGGUACCUAUAAAAAAAAUUAAGCAUUACACCAUUUUAUUGCACAAAUCAUGCAGUGCACUCUUUAGAUGCAUACCACUUCAAGUAUAACUGUCAAACUAUUCCAUCAGUCAUGGAUACUUUAGCUGAGAUUCCUGCAUUGCAGGGGGUUCAACUAGAUGACCCCCAGGGCCCCUUCCAACUCUACAAUUCUAUGAUUCAAAAACUAUGUGAUCCUCUUAUCCUGCAUUGUACAAGGGACACUUAAUAUUUCCGUGCUGGAUUAGCAUUACACAUCAGCAUUUCCCCCUAACAUCUUAGAUAUAGCAUUUUACCAUUAUUAUAAUAUUUGUGUUCCAUAAUGGGAACUAAGUAGUUUAACUCUUAGCCUCUUCUGAAAAGCACUUUAGAAACCAUUGUAAAAUUGGAAUGCAGAAAGGUUUGCCCUUCAUAAUAUACUAACAAGUCCAGAAAACUGCUGUCUAGUGGUAUUUAGCUGAUCCAACAAAUACUUGAUGGGUUUGUAAGUUUACAAUCCUAUUACCAUAUAAAAUACACAUCUCAACCUUUUCAUUAUCACGCAAGCCACGGUAUAUGAAAGUGUCGAUUACACACUAUGCUGCCACAAACAUGUUAAUCGCACUCUGCUGAAACAGUUUACGUAAGCUCUCGUCUUAUUCAAGUAUCUUUAAGUAACAUCCAAGGAAUCCAUUUCUUUUGGGGGAAACUCCUGAUUAGGUUGAUAUCAGUUAAAGUCUACAGUAACAUAACUGCAGGGGCAGGGAAAAGAAAGGCCCCAGAUUUAGGGCCUAAUGAAGGUCAAUACGAUCAGCAACAAUAUGUUCCUUACAGAAGUUGCUCUGCAUCUUUUAGAAACAUUUCCUGGCAAAAGAAAUACUGAAAUUGAGAUGUAUAAUGGGACAACAUUCUAAAAACUGUGCUUCUUUGGCAGUAUGCUAUUAGCAGGCUCCAACAAUGUCAUUUGCAGAUUUAAGUAUAUAGACUCCAAAGAAAAUGUAUGAACCUAUAUUACAAGUAGAUUUACAGAAGGUCAAAAACUCAGCUGAAACUCAUCUUCUAUAAGCAAUUCUUCUCAAAGCCCACAAAAACUGACUUUUCUUCUGUUACACUUAUAUUUUUCCUUCCUUGGAGACGCAUUCUCCAACAACUGCUGCUGGCAAAAGACACAGAUGUUGGUGAGACUUUCUUAGGAGCACCACCACAUAAUAAACCAGAAUGAAAACAAUCCAAACAUUAUUUAUAGCCCAUGUGAACCAAAAGGCAUCAAUACAGAAUUGUUCAUACUUUAUUUGCUAAAUAUUCUGACACUUUCAGCAGAACAGAGGAAGGCUGGCUAUGACUUCUUUUACUGUUUCUGCCAAAAGCCAACACACUAUCAUGGGUAAGCAGUACAUAAAAAAGCAAACAAAGGCAUAUGGCGAUAUUUAUAACCAAGCUGAAUUAUAAAAAUCUUCUGCGCUAAGGGAUGCAUUAGCUCUUUGUCCAUAAGCUGUUUAACUCUUUGCUAUGAAUGCCUUUUCCAUAAAUGGGAGGAAUGCCAAAGCAGGUCACCCUCAAAGUUAGUGAGUUAAAAGCAACCUACUGGAAACACAAAUAAACUAACACUGAUUUAUAACUGGCUUAGUUCACAAGGUUGGCUGUUGUGAUGACAGGCUACAUUGAUUUCUUAUUGAUAAAGUUAAGUUAGUUGAUCACACUCUUGAAUGUAAGUACUAUCUCAGAACCACAGCUAAAACAAUGGCAUCAUGGCAAAGUAAUAAACCAAGGAUUAAAGUACACUGACAGCAACAUAAAACUGGCCACUGUGAAUCAAGCAUCAAGAUAAUAAGUGCUAUGCACAUCAAGUAGUUUUUUAAAUGAAGAUAUUGUCACCCCAGGGCCUCUAGCGACAAGGAGAAGCAGCCUACAGCAUUGGCAAUCUAAAACUGUCAUGUAGCAUUUUCUUUUUAAAGAUGAGCAUAUAUGGUUAUUAACAGAAGCAAAUAUAAAACUAUCAACCAGGCACUGUCCCUGCACAAGUCUCACAUAAAUUAACUGAAGUUGCACUCAAGAACAUCUAUGUUCCUGCAUUCUUACUCCUUUGAAUGAGACAGCAUUCCUGGUGGAUUGUGCUCUAUUUGUUCAUUAUUUUCAUGGCAAAGUUAAUUUAUGCUUGUAAUUCAACACUUUCCUGUUCACUUGUGGUGAGCAAAAACUGCCCAAAUAAAAUCAGGAGCCUCCUACAAUUUUGAGGAGACAAAGACAGACAUGGGCAAAGCCUCCAUAAUGUAACCAGUUAACUUGGGGCUACAUUAUGGAGGCUGUGAAUUGGGAUUGUUCACCUCCUAACUACAAGGCUGAAUUAACAAUAUUCAAAGAUUGCAAAACACUUGGAACAUUAAGAUAGCUAAUUUCUUAACCCAUAGCUAUGUCUUCAACAAAUCACUCUGUAUAAUUCAGUUAUCUACUUGACAAGUGGCCAUUUUGACAGCACAACUAGUUGAUAACAUGUAUGACAGAUAGCUAAAUAAGUAUGAUCCUAAGCACUCUUAGAAGUAAUUGCCACAGACCAUCACCCUUUGUGCAUACAAGUUAUCUACAUGCAUGCAUGUUUCUUAAGAGUGGAAAUUUUUAUGGUUUUAAUCUUUAUGGUGAAUACUUAGUUUGCACUUUCAAGAGCUGAAACAGCUUAACUGAAACAAUUGAUAAAGGAAAUAACCAAGGGUUUCAUGCAUUCAUUUCCCUUCAUUCUGUUAAUAUAUUUCACACAGCUACAUUACUCUGCACAAUACUGAACUCAAAUUUAUUCAUAGUUCAGGAUUGUGCACAGCCAUGUAAAGCCAACAGCAUGAGGUGUUUAACAACUGGCAAGUGUAAAACUGAAAAUGUUACUCUCAUUCCUGAUAUUCAGAAGCAGUCUUGGGAUUUCAUACAGUCUGCCAGUCAUUGCUUCAGUUAAAAAGAAACCAACAGGUUGAGUGGGAGCUGGCUGACAAAGUGCCUACACCAUUUGCAUUUUAAAAGGGCCCUUUUCUUCUCUUCUAAAGUACUCCUGCCAGUCCAACAGGGGGCAAAAGUUUACAUUUUGAGCACAAGCAUAUUAGAAGACCUCAGAGAUUGAAUGUGGCAAAAGAGAAAUAAAAAAGGAAUUUAUAGUAGCAGGGUAUAUUCUCUCACCUAACUCUGAAGGGAAACCUACCACUGUCUUCAUUCAAGGCUCUGAGAAAUACAACAGCACCUAAGCCACCGACAUGUAGAGGAACUUUGCUCAGCUUUUAACACUCCCUGCCAACUACUAUUUAACAUGCUGCAUAUUUAUAUUUUAUUUUUUAAAAAAUUAAUUGCCUCAUUUCCCCCCGCAAACAUUAUUCCAAGAAAAAGAAACCAGCAUCACAGAAAAAAAGCUAAUGUUAAGUACACAGAAAACACUCCAUAUUUUUUAUCCACUUCUACCUUUGAAGCAAACAAAAUGAUAAAUGCUAAUAAGCAACUGUCAGAGAAAAAAUGUGAUUCAGGUAGUUUUCUAAUUACCCCAUGUUUAGCUCAGAGCACAAAGCAUAGACUUUGAAGCAAAAAGGCACCUUUCUAAAGCUGUCUGAGUUUAAAACAAAACAAAACCACAAACCAGUCUGACCAAAGCUAGGAAACUCAUUGUUUCUCUCUCAUUUCUUUCCAUCAAUCUGCAGUCAAAAAGAACAAAGCGAAGAAAUAAAAAACCCGACACUCUUGGUUGCCAUUUGAAAGGAUGAAGCAGGCAUUCUGAAAGCAUCUGGUUUCGAGGCUCUUACUGGAGUGGUGUCACUGCUUCGCUUUUCCAGACUGUAUGGUAGACCUGGGACAAAUCCAAAAGAUUGUAUUUCUAAACAUUUCUUUCAGGGUGGAGAAGCAGGCGAGGCAAGGCAACAUUCCUGACCGUGCAAGUCUUAGGUUCUAGGCACCGCAGGUGAAGUCAGGCAGACUGAUCAUGUCUAUUCUUCACCUUUUCAAAACGCCAUUGGGGGGGAAAUAUACACCGAGACUGAUUUUCUUACAGGCGCUACCACAGUAUAUUACGUCUUCCAGUGGGAAAGGUCACCAGGCCACGUUCAUUAACAUGGAAAACAAACCUCAUGUUUCCAGGCUGCAAGAGUAUUUGGACAUUUGAUGCUUUCAUUCUUAUUCUUUUCACAUAUUAGGGUUUCUUUUUAAUCUAAAAAACAACUCUUUCAGCACACGAUCAGGAAGAAGGGUCUUUGAAUUUCUUUAUUUUAAAUUAGUGUCUACAACCAACACCACCAUUUGAUUAAAACAAAAAGUUCUGCAUUUUGUGCCUGCUAUGAACAAAGUAUGCAAAUCGAGGAAGGGCGGAGAGGAGAACAUACACAUGCCGUAUCAUGCAACAGUUCCAAAACAGGUACAAUGCAAGUCUCCGUGUAAUAAAUAAUAUGAACUAAACGCACACACGCACACAUGGAGGCCAGCGUGGAAACAGCAGCCAAGAAUCCGUGCAGGUGGUGGGGGGUGGGGAGGAGAAAGAACCCUCAGCUGAAAUCCGGAUUUUUUGUAUUUUAAAAAAAGAAAAGGAAUCAAGUGAGAAUGGCGUCGGCAGGUAAGAGACGGGCGGACUGGGCAACAACCCCUCCCCCCUCUUGCACGCACAACUCCAUUAACCGAGAGUGGAUCAGGUCCAAAAGGUUUCUUCUCCCCGAGGAGGGCAAGUUGCCGCUGUGGGAGCGGAGGAAGAAUCCCAGGACAACAAGGGGAAAGAAGGCGCUUCUGCCCCAGGGAUCGAGGUUGAUCCCGGCGAAAGCGGCGGCGCAUUCAGAGCAACUCACCUCGAAGGAAGCUUUAGGGCUCGGUGGGCAACGGGGGGAGCGGUAAGGUAUUUUUGUUUCAGCAAAGGCAAGCCUUCCCUCGCGCUACUCAACAGGCGGCGGGUGACCGGCAAGACCGUGAGACGCCGAAGAAACUACUCACCACACGCGCCCGGGGCGCCGCCACCCGCAUGCUGCCUCGCUCCGACCCGCCAACUAGCUGCUGGCGCCGGGCUUCGCCACCGUCUCCCUCUCUUUCUUUCUCCGUGAACACACGCGCGCGCGCGCGCUCA